CCAGCUCCUGGGGAUCUCUGGGUGGCUCAGCAGAAGCUCUUUGCCUGUUGUAGGCUAUGUUUGGCCCCUGGCUGGGUGGGUUGUAUAUUAAUAAGGUGUGUGCCAUAUUGGAAAAUGAGACCAAAGUGUGGGGCAGGGAGGUGGGGCUUGGUGUAAGCAAGUUAGGCAGUGAGUGUCGUGGUUUCUGUAGGUGACCGUGUGUCUGUGCUGAGGGGGUAGGGCAGGGAAAUGGUGCAUGCCAGCUCCUUUGUUCCUGGAGGAGUCUCCUUGUGCUCCCUGCCUCUUGGAACCACACUCUGAGAUGAAUCCAUUAGAGGAUGUGAAAGCACAGGGGAAACUGCCACUCUAAAAACUGAAGAGACCUGCAAAUACAGUGAAUGACCACCUACUUCAAGUAGAAGCUGCCAGAGCCAGUUACUGGUAGGAAGACUUAAAAAGUAAUUCCUGGAGGCUGAGUGUGGACCAGCUUAAGGGUUAAAGACUCCUGGAGCAAAGUCUUAAGGGACCCCACACUUGUGGGUUUUACCACCAGAAGCCCACCAACAUAUUAAGUAGGCCUGUCUUCCAAGAAAUGUUAAAAGAAGUUCUUCAGAGAGAUCGAAAAUUAUGAGUCAGAAACAGAUCUAUAUCAAGAAUGAAAGAGCAUUAAAGAAAUGUGAAGACUGGUACUACAGUGUAACAGUACAAAGAUGGAGGAGAUGCAACAUGCACUGGUUACUACGUACUAAACUGUGGAGAAGAUCCGGUUGCCUGGGAUGAUGUCAAUCUGCAUGACUCCGGCUCCGAGGUUUCUGAAGAUGGACUGCUUAGCAUGUUCAUUUUUGAAUGAAUGAAUCAGGCCAUGGCCUGUCAAUCUCCAAACCUAGUUUAAAAGAGUAAAAGUACCAAGUGUACGUCAUUAAAAAGAGAAAGAAAAAGACCAAAAGCAAAAA